rnacentral:rRNA from 1 species
CCUACGGGCGGCUGCAGUGGGGAAUAUUGGACAAUGGGGGGAACCCUGAUCCAGCCAUGCCGCGUGUGUGAAGAAGGCCCUCGGGUUGUAAAGCACUUUCAGUGAGGAAGAACGCCUGGUGGUUAAUACCCAUCAGGAAAGACAUCACUCACAGAAGAAGCACCGGCUAACUCCGUGCCAGCAGCCGCGGUAAUACGGAGGGUGCGAGCGUUAAUCGGAAUUACUGGGCGUAAAGCGCGCGUAGGUGGCUUGAUAAGCCGGUUGUGAAAGCCCCGGGCUCAACCUGGGAACGGCAUCCGGAACUGUCAAGCUAGAGUGCAGGAGAGGAAGGUAGAAUUCCCGGUGUAGCGGUGAAAUGCGUAGAGAUCGGGAGGAAUACCAGUGGCGAAGGCGGCAUUCUGGACUGACACUGACACUGAGGUGCGAAAGCGUGGGUAGCAAACAGGAUUAGAUACCCUGGUAGUC